rnacentral:ncRNA from 1 species
UCACCUUAAUUAAAAAAAGAAGCAUCACAAGGGCCAGAUAUUUAUGAGAUGUGAUUUCUGGCCAGUGCUGUGAAUAUUAAAGUGAAGCAAUUCAAUGUAGUGCAGAUAAUUACAAUUCUCUUGAGGUAGCCAAAUGCUUUGUAAUCUAAUAUAUGCUACAUGAAAAGAUGAAUGAG